GGAUUCCCCUAGUAACUGCGAGUGAACCGGGAAAAGCUCAAAUUUUGAAUCUGGCGGUCUUUCGGCCGUCCGAGUUGUAAUCUAGAGAAGCGUCUUCCGCGCUGGACCGUGUAUAAGUUUCCUGGAAUGGAACGUCGUAGAGGGUGAGAAUCCCGUCUUUGACACGGACUGCCAGGGCUAUGUGAUGCGCUCUCGACGAGUCGAGUUGUUUGGGAAUGCAGCUCAAAUAGGGUGGUAAAUUCCAUCUAAAGCUAAAUACAGGCGAGAGACCGAUAGCGAACAAGUACCGUGAGGGAAAGAUGAAAAGAACUUUGGAAAGAGAGUUAAACAGUACGUGAAAUUGCUGAAAGGGAAACGCUUGAUGUCAGUCGCGUCGGCCGGGGAUCAGCCUUGCUCUUUUGCUCGGUGUAUUUCCUGGUCGACGGGUCAGCAUCGGUUUCGACCGUCGGAAAAUGGCUCGAGGAAUGUGGCACUCUUCGGAGUGUGUUAUAGACUCGGGUCGAAUAUGACGAUCGGGACCGAGGAACUCAGCACGACCUUCGGGUUCGGGGCUUCGGCCCACGUCGACGUGCUUAGGAUGCUGGCAUAAUGGC
rnacentral:rRNA from 1 species